rnacentral:tRNA from 3 species
GGUAGAAUGGCUGAGGGUUAAGCGGUGGUUUGUAGCCCCAUAUACAGAGGUUUGAGUCCUCUUUCUAUCA